ACGAUACUCUGGAAAGCUGCUCCGGCAGCGCCGAAGAAGCAAUCUGCCGCAGGGCGGAGAAUCUUUCAGGUCAAAGGACAGAGGCA
rnacentral:ncRNA from 1 species